rnacentral:lncRNA from 1 species
CCACUUUAUGGAACUUCAUGCGAUGGAGAGUGUGGAUAGAGUAGUAGUCAGUAUAUUUGAGUAGCUUAUAGUUCUGUCCAUCCAACUCAAUGUCUGCUUCUCUAAAUAUCAGAGUGAAGAUCAUUCCAUAAGGGAGACAAGCCUAACUCUUAGAUUUUUCUACUGCAUUUUUUAUCUACUUGAUUAUAAAGAAGGAUAGAUUUAUAGCAGUGCCCUCAACCAUGUGAAACAUCACACC